GCUUCGGCCUUAGUGGCGCACGGGUGCGUAACGCGUGGGAAUCUGCCCUUAGGUUCGGAAUAACAGUGAGAAAUUACUGCUAAUACCGGAUGAUGACGUAAGUCCAAAGAUUUAUCGCCUAGGGAUGAGCCCGCGUAGGAUUAGCUAGUUGGUGUGGUGAAGGCGCACCAAGGCGACGAUCCUUAGCUGGUCUGAGAGGAUGAUCAGCCACACUGGGACUGAGACACGGCCCAGACUCCUACGGGAGGCAGCAGUGGGGAAUAUUGGACAAUGGGCGAAAGCCUGAUCCAGCAAUGCCGCGUGAGUGAUGAAGGCCUUAGGG
rnacentral:rRNA from 1 species